rnacentral:rRNA from 1 species
GUUAUAUGGUCAAGCGAAUAAGCGCACACGGUGGAUGCCUUGGCGGUCAGAGGCGAUGAAGGACGUGGCAGCCUGCGAAAAGUAUCGGGGAGCUGGCAACAAGCUUUGAUCCGGUAAUGUCCGAAUGGGGAAACCCACCCGCUUGCGGGUAUCCUGCAGUGAAUACAUAGCUGCUGGAAGCGAACCUGGUGAACUGAAAUAUCUAAGUAACCAGAGGAAAAGAAAUCAACCGAGAUUCCGUAAGUAGCGACGAGCGAACGCGGACUAGCCCUUAAGCUGAUUUGGUUCUAGGAAAACACUCUGGAAAGAGCGGCCAUAGAAGGUGAUAGCCCUGUAUCUGAAAGGGCCAUUUCAGUGAAGACGAGUAGGGCGGGGCACGUGAAACCCUGUCUGAACAUGGGGGGACCAUCCUCCAAGGCUAAAUACUACUGACCGACCGAUAGUGAACCAGUACCGUGAGGGAAAGGCGAAAAGAACCCCGGAGAGGGGAGUGAAAUAGAACCUGAAACCGUGUGCGUACAAGCAGUAGGAGCUCCGCAAGGAGUGACUGCGUACCUUUUGUAUAAUGGGUCAGCGACUUACUGUUCGUGGCAAGCUUAACCGUAUAGGGGAGGCGAAGGGAAACCGAGUCUGAUAAGGGCGCAUAGUCGCGGGCAGUAGACCCGAAACCGGGUGAUCUAGUCAUGCCCAGGGUGAAGGUGCGGUAACACGCACUGGAGGCCCGAACCCACUCCCGUUGCAAAGGUAGGGGAUGAGGUGUGAUUAGGAGUGAAAAGCUAAUCGAACCCGGAGAUAGCUGGUUCUCCUCGAAAGCUAUUUAGGUAGCGCCUCAUAUGUAUCCUCUCGGGGGUAGAGCACUGUUAUGGCUAGGGGGUCAUCGCGACUUACCAAACCAUUGCAAACUCCGAAUACCGAGACGGACUGUAUGGGAGACACACGGCGGGUGCUAACGUCCGUCGUGAAAAGGGAAACAACCCAGACCCACAGCUAAGGUCCCAAAUUUUGUGCUAAGUGGAAAACCAUGUGGAAAGGCACAGACAGCCAGGAGGUUGGCUUAGAAGCAGCCACCCUUUAAAGAAAGCGUAAUAGCUCACUGGUCGAGUCGGUCUGCG